rnacentral:rRNA from 1 species
CAGUCGCCACGGGAAUACGGAGGGCGCAAGCGUUAAUCGGAAUUACUGGGCGUAAAGCGCACGCAGGCGGUUUGUUAAGUCAGAUGUGAAAUCCCCGAGCUUAACUUGGGAACUGCAUUUGAAACUGGCAAGCUGGAGUCUUGUAGAGGGGGGUAGAAUUCCAGGUGUAGCGGUGAAAUGCGUAGAGAUCUGGAGGAAUACCGGUGGCGAAGGCGGCCCCCUGGACAAAGACUGACGCUCAGGUGCGAAAGCGUGGGGAGCAAACAGGAUUAGAUACCCCGGUAGUCCCUGUCUCUUAUAC